UGGACAAUGGGCGCAAGCCUGAUCCAGCCAUGCCGCGUGAGUGAAGAAGGCCUUCGGGUCGUAAAGCUCUUUCAGACGGAAAGAAAUCGCACGAUUUAAUACAUCGUGUGGAUGACGGUACCGUAAGAAGAAGCACCGGCUAACUACGUGCCAGCAGCCGCGGUAAUACGUAGGGUGCGAGCGUUAAUCGGAAUUACUGGGCGUAAAGCGUGCGCAGGCGGCUUCGUAAGACAGAUGUGAAAUCCCCGGGCUUAACCUGGGAACUGCAUUUGUGACUGCGAGACUAGAGUGUAGCAGAGGGGGGUAGAAUUCCACGUGUAGCAGUGAAAUGCGUAGAGAUGUGGAGGAAUACCGAUGGCGAAGGCAGCCCCCUGGGCUAACACUGACGCUCAUGCACGAAAGCGUGGGGAGCAAACAGGAUUAGAUACCCUGGUAGUCCACGCCCUAAACGAUGUCAACUAGGUGUUGGGGAAGGAGACUUCUUUAGUACCGCAGCUAACGCGUGAAGUUGACCGCCUGGGGAGUACGGUCGCAAGAUUAAAACUCAAAGGAAUUGACGG
rnacentral:rRNA from 1 species